GAUGAACGCUGGCGGCAUGCCUAAUACAUGCAAGUCGAACGAGAGAGACAUUGGUGCUUGCACCUUUGUUGAUCUAGUGGCGAAUGGGUGAGUAACACGUGAGUAACCUGCCCUCUAGACUGGGAUAACUUCAGGAAACUGGGGCUAAUACCGGAUAGGAGCUCCUGCUGCAUGGUGGGGGUUGGAAAGUUUCGGCGGUUGGGGAUGGACUCGCGGCUUAUCAGCUUGUUGGUGGGGUAGUGGCUUACCAAGGCUUUGACGGGUAGCCGGCCUGAGAGGGUGACCGGCCACAUUGGGACUGAGAUACGGCCCAG
rnacentral:rRNA from 1 species